CCCGGCCCCGCCCUUCUCCUAGGCCACGCCCCCAACCCUGUCCUCCCUACUCACUCGGGGCUCCUCGCCCUCCGUAUCUGGAGUCCAGACUGGAGGUGAGAAUACAAGGAUGCACCCAAAAAAAGGGAAGUUGUGCCCUAUAAAUCAUCAUCCCUCUUUUGCAGAUGGGGAAACUGAGGACUCCAGUGUGGAACUGAUCUGCGCACCAGGCCACAAUGUCUAUCCGGGUCGCUGGACCCAAUGCCCCGGAAUAUGGGAUAGACUCAGCCAGAGAGUCCAGUUUCCAGCCUGAUAAUUGACGCAGGCCAUGACAGAGCCUACGAGAUAGUCUGACAUUUUUUAAAAAUCUGACACUAUCUUUUACCUGGCAUUAAAUAAUGCCACCUAAACAGG